AUUGAACGCUGGCGGCAGGCCUAACACAUGCAAGUCGAACGGUAGCACAGAGAGCUUGCUCUCGGGUGACGAGUGGCGGACGGGUGAGUAAUGUCUGGGAAACUGCCCGAUGGAGGGGGAUAACUACUGGAAACGGUAGCUAAUACCGCAUAAUGUCGUAAGACCAAAGAGGGGGACCUUCGGGCCUCUUGCCAUCGGAUGUGCCCAGAUGGGAUUAGCUUGUUGGUGAGGUAAUGGCUUACCAAGGCGACGAUCCCUAGCUGGCCUGAGAGGGUGACCAGCCACACUGGAACUGAGACACGGUCCAGACUCCUACGGGAGGCAGCAGUGGGGAAUAUUGCGCAAUGGGCGCAAGCCUGAUGCAGCCAUGCCGCGUGAGUGAAGAAGGCCUUCGGGUCGUAAAGCUCUUUUAGCGGGGAGGAAGGAGUUACGGUUAAAAUCCGUGUUGAUUGACGUUACCCACAGAAGAAGCACCGGCUAACUCCGUG
rnacentral:rRNA from 1 species